AGCAGUGAUAUCAACACUGAGCACCAGGACAUCAUCCGGGGCACAGCGGCCGCCGAGUUCCACAAUCAUAUAUUUGAAAAAGUAACAGGGAGGGACUGUGAACCUGGUACCCACAUAGUUGUCCUGGGGAUCUCUGGGCCUCAGCCUCUCUUCACAGUGUGAAUUGAGUAAAGGCAUCUCCACUGUGACUGGAGCACAUUCCUCCCUGGUGGGGCUUGGCCACUGCAGGUGGGGUGGUAACCAUGAUCAAUCCAGGCAGGGAUUGAUGCUGUGACCCAGUUUGGGUUCCAUCCGCACUGGCUGGGCCACAUCAUGGGGGAGCCAUUUCAGUCACAAUGCAGCCUCCACUGUAACAAACCCAUGGGCCCCAUGCCUGGGCAGGGGUUGCUCUGUGGCACCCCUCAAACCCCCUGCUGGGCAGUGGGGACAGGACUUAGAGCCUUCUGCUCCAUAAGGUCCAGCCACAAGGAGAAUCUCUCUUGCCAGAAGUAUUAGGCCUGUGAUCCUUGGGAGCAAUUCCAACGCCAUCCCAUCGGAGGCAGCUCAGGGAAAGUGGGGUCCAGGACUUCUAGGGAGGGAAGGAAGGACGUGCUUCCCAUUAGGGCUGAGGGCAUCCUGCAGACGUGUUGAACUGGACAGCCUCACCCCUGGAUUGAGGCAAAUGUCACCAUUGAGGUGAUGAUGGCUUUUCUAGAAGCCCAAAGGAGAGCUGAGAACAGUGGUUAGCUGAGGAGACCUCGUGCACCACACUUCCGGUCUCUCC